AUGGUUAUCUUGAAGGAAGAACAAGGGGGGGGCAUGAAUAUCCCACCUCCCAGCAGGCCAAAGCCACCAAAAAUCAGGCUAUUUUCUUCCCCCUCCAAUCUGUAUUCGUUUUUUCCCUAUUUUUUUCAAAUAGCAAACAAACACCAGCCAGUAUUCCUGUCCCAACUCUACUAUAUCUCUCUGAAAGCAGCUGGAAAAAGCGCCAAGCUUUCUAGAAGAGAGCACAAACCAAAACUAAACUUGAAAGAACUGCCCUUCAGGGCUCAGGUAUCUGUCUGUGGAGACAGAUGUUGAGAGUUCGAUUCCCCACGGGGCUUCCUGGGAAGCAGAGCCAACCCGUGCGGCCUUGGGCAAGCUGCAGAGUCCCAAAGGGUCCUGGGAAGGGGGUGGUAAACCACUUCCGAGUAAUUCUCUACCUGGAAAACCAUGAAAAUAACCGCCAUAAUAAUUGGACCAAAAUAAUCGGACACGACUAAACGAACACACACAAUCGCCAUAAAUCAGACCUGAUCUGACGGCACAUGAUUAUUGUAAUCUCCACACAUUCAUGUAGGAAAGGAAGUGGGCCAGAGGCUGCGCUUCAAUGCAGGCUCCCCUGAGAGUAAACCAUAUUCAACUCACUAGUUUUCCCCCCGAGUAAAGAGAGCCAGCAAUACCUUUUAAGGCUAGAAACGUCUGGAACCAACUUCGAAUCAAGUUAAUGAUUAAGCAAUCACGCCUAGGGCCGGAUUACGUGGGUGCAGCAGUUUCCUCAGGGGAAAGAAACCCUACUCAAUGCGCUAGAAGUUGGUUUUUUUUAAUAAGGGCGGUUAUGAAGUCACUGGAACGCUAUAACCGUCCCGACAUUACCUCAGGCUAUCUUCAAAAUCAAGAAGAGGCGUAAUAUAGUUGAGCCGCAAAGGGCAAGGGGGAGAAAGGCAUGGUCCUUCCGCCCUGGAAACAAAGGUGAUCGUCCUCCCGCCGCCGCACCUCUGAAAAACACCUCACAGGACAACGUUCUGCAACGUACUACUCCAGAGUUACGCUGCCGGCUCCUCCCUGCGGAUUGGCCUGAACCCCUGUCCUUCAGAGCCGCGGGAGGCAGAAGCCCCACCUCCAAAACUCCACCCUCGGUUCCUGCCCCUGCUUCCCGGGCCCGCCUCAUUCUCCCCUAGCCCGCACGAGCCGGAGGCUCCUCCCACUUCCCAGUCCUACGAAGCCCCGCCCCCUUUCUCCACGCAUUCUGAGGGGCUUCUUCGUCCCCUUCUUCUUCUUCUCAUGGCCGGCUUUCUCGUGGGUGCGGCUCCGCCCCUUU
rnacentral:lncRNA from 1 species